rnacentral:rRNA from 1 species
AUUGAACGCUGGCGGCAUGCCUAACACAUGCAAGUCGAACGAGUGGCGGACGGGUGAGUAAUGUCUGGGAAAAUGCCUGAUGGAGGGGGAUAACUACUGGAAACGGUAGCUAAUACCGCAUACCAUCAGAUGGGCCAAGAUGGGAUUAGCUUGUUGGUAGGGUAACGGCUCACCAAGGCGACGAUCCCUAGCUGGUUUGAGAGGAUGACCAGCCACACUGGAACUGAGACACGGUCCAGACUCCUACGGGAGGCAGCAGUGGGGAAUAUUGCACAAUGGGCGAAAGCCUGAUGGAGCCAUGCCGCGUGUAUGAAGAAGGCCUUCGGGUUGUAAAGUACUUUCGGCGGGGAGGCGUUACCCGCAGAAGAAGCACCGGCUAACUCCGUGCCAGCCGCCGCGGUAAUUC